AAAUUGAAGAGUUUGAUCAUGGCUCAGAUUGAACGCUGGCGGCAGGCCUAACACAUGCAAGUCGAACGGUAACAGGAAACAGCUUGCUGUUUCGCUGACGAGUGGCGGACGGGUGAGUAAUGUCUGGGAAACUGCCUGAU
rnacentral:rRNA from 1 species